rnacentral:rRNA from 1 species
UACGGGGGGGAGCAAGCGUUGUUCGGAUUUACUGGGCGUAAAGGGCGCGUAGGCGGUCGUGACAAGUCACUUGUGAAAUCCCACGGCUUAACUGUGGAACUGCUUGGUAUACUGCCGGUCUUGAGCCAGCUAGGGGCUACCGGAACAAAUGGUGGAGCGGUGAAAUGCGUAGAUAUCAUUUGGAACGCCAAAGGUGAAAACAAGGUAGCUGGGGGCUGUGCUGACGCUGGAGACACGAAAGCCAGGGGAGCAAACGGG